rnacentral:tRNA from 1 species
ACUCCUGUAGCCCAAUUGGCAAAGGCCGCAAUUUCAAAAAUUGUGUUGUAUGAGUUCAAAUCUCACCAAGAGUACCA